rnacentral:rRNA from 1 species
AACGAACGCUGGCGGCAUGCCUAACACGCAAGUCGAACGAGAUCUUCGGGUCUAGUGGCGCACGGGUGCGUAACGCGUGGGAAUCUGCCCUUUGGUUCGGAAUAACAGUUGGAAACGACUGCUAAUACCGGAUGAUGACGAAAGUCCAAAGAUUUAUCGCCAGAGGAUGAGCCCGCGUAGGAUUAGCUAGUUGGUGUGGUAAAGGCGCACCAAGGCGACGAUCCUUAGCUGGUCUGAGAGGAUGAUCAGCCACACUGGGACUGAGACACGGCCCAGACUCCUACGGGAGGCAGCAGUGGGGAAUAUUGGACAAUGGGCGAAAGCCUGAUCCAGCAAUGCCGCGUGAGUGAUGAAGGCCUUAGGGUUGUAAAGCUCUUUUACCCGGGAUGAUAAUGACAGUACCGGGAGAAUAAGCUCCGGCUAACUCCGUGCCAGCCGCCGCAGUAA